AUUGAACGCUGGCGGCAUGCUUUACACAUGCAAGUCGAACGGUAACAGUCCUCCAGGUGCUGGCGCUUGGCUAACGGGCGGGUAAUGCAUCGGAACGUGCCCAGCCCUGCGCGUUAACUACUCGAUAGAGUAGCUAAUACCGCAUACGAUCUAUGGAUGAAAUCGGUGGCCCGUUAGACCUCGCGCCAUUGUAGCGUCCGCUGUCAGCUUAGGUAGUUGGUGGGGUAAAGGUUCACCAAGCCAACGAUCUGUAGCUGGACUGCGAGGACGAUCAGCGACACUGGGACUGAGACACGGACCAGACGCCUAAGGGAGGCAGCAGAGGGGAAUGGUGGACAAUGGGGGCAAGCAUGAUCCAGCAAGGGCGAGUGCAGGAAGGAGGCGUUCGGGUUGUAAACUGCGUUUGUAGGGAACGAAACGGCUUUGGUAAAGACCAGGCGCUAAUGACGGUACCGGAAGAAGAAGCACCGGCUAACUACGUG
rnacentral:rRNA from 1 species